rnacentral:lncRNA from 1 species
GGCAACUUCGGCAGCCGAAUGCUGCCUCCACAAAGGGGGUUCGGCGGCCGAAACUCCCUUCGGCUGCCGAACCUAGUUUCUGCCAAAGGGCAGAAACUUGGUUCAAACGAACCUCUUGCCUCCCAAAACCUCUAAUCAUGCAUAAACUUGAUCUACAACAUGCAUACUUCACAUACAUCACACCUAGGGGUCUCAAACUAUCAAAUACCCCAUCUACAACACUUCCAACAACACAUAUACAAGCUACAUUAUUCAUCAAAGCAUCAAAACCCAUAAACUCAACAUAUACCCUAACAUGCAUUUCUACCCAUAGAUCUUGCGUAAAACUUAGUUAAAACACAUAAGGAGCUUAAGAUCGGCUCUUACCUCUUGAAGAUCGAGAGAGAGACGACCUAAACUUGGAGAUCCACAAAAAAUGAGCUCCUG